CCUACGGGGAGCAGCAGUGGGGAAGAGUGGGCAAUGGACGCAAGUCUGACCCAGCAACGCCGCGUGAAGGAAGAAGGCUUUCGGGUGGUAAACUUCUUUUAAGGGGGAAGAGCAGAAGACGGUACCCCUUGAAUAAGCCACGGCUAACGACGGGCCAGCAGCCGCGGGAAUACGUAGGUGGCAAGCGGUGUCCGGAUUUACUGGGUGUAAAGGGCGUGCCGCCGGAGAGACAAGUCAGAUGUGAAAUCCACGGGCUCAACCCGUGAACGGCCUUUUAAACUUUUUCCCUUGAGUGUCGGAGCGGUCAUCGGACUUCCUUUUGUAGCGGUGAACUGCGUAGAUAUAAGG
rnacentral:rRNA from 1 species